AGAGUUUGAUCCUGGCUCAGGAUGAACGCUGGCGGCGUGCUUAACACAUGCAAGUCGAACGGAGCCAAGGAGUGCUUGCAUUCCUGAAGCUUAGUGGCGGACGGGUGAGUAACGCGUGGGGAAUCUGCCCCGUACCGGGGGAUAACACUUAGAAAUAGGUGCUAAUACCGCAUAAGCGCACACUGAGGCAUCUCAGCGUGUGAAAAACUCCGGUGGUACGGGAUGACCCCGCGUCUGAUUAGCCAGUUGGCAGGGUAACGGCCUACCAAAGCGACGAUCAGUAGCCGGCCUGAGAGGGUGAACGGCCACAUUGGGACUGAGACACGGCCCAAACUCCUACGGGAGGCAGCAGUGGGGAAUAUUGCACAAUGGGCGAAAGCCUGAUGCAGCGACGCCGCGUGAGUGAAGAAGUAUCUCGGUAUGUAAAGCUCUAUCAGCAGGGAAGCAAAUGACGGUACCUGACUAAGAAGCCCCGGCUAACUACGUGCCAGCAGCCGCGGU
rnacentral:rRNA from 1 species